GUGUUUUAUGAAAAGAGAGAAGGUUAGCACUCCCCUUGACAAGGAUGGAGGAGGCCCUUGAGCCUGACAACAAGUGUUGCUUUUAGAUCUAUAGGACAUAAGUGUGUACAUACUGAAUGGUUUCU
rfam:Fukomys damarensis contig151952, whole genome shotgun sequence.